ensembl:lncRNA
AGCUUUUUAGAAAUUGUAGUGAUGAAAAACCUACCUGAAACAAAGGAGGAAUAUUUGACAAAAAAGGGGAAAAGUUAUAUCUGGGGUCCUGCUUGGCCUGUUUCAUUGGAGUUACCUCUCUCCCUGACAUUCAGCUGAAGCAACAGGAUUGGGUGGCCGCCAUAAUUUGACCAGCUGACUUCCAUUCCUGGUUCCAGCUGAUUGAACCAAAUGAGUCCCAGUUCAAGCUGAGCCAAUCAGCUUUGCCUCUUAUGGAUUUUAUCUUCAGAAGACAAAGAUUCAUCUAGGACACAGCAUGAAGGCAGCCAUCUGCAAGCCGGGAGGUGGGCCCUCACCAAGAACUGAAUCUGCCAACACUUAGAUAUUGGACUUCCCAGCCUGCAGAAUGAUUUGCCAUCAGUCUUGAUACAACAUGCAGAAGCUUGUCUGAAAAAGAAACCAAAUGGAGGCAAAGUAGCCAAGAGAUGAGAAAAGAGUACAGACCCUGAUGAUCUCAUUUGAUCCUUGGAUUCUCCCAUGAUGCCUCUUGGACUAUUCAGUUUUUAAAUGCAAUUUUAUCCAUUUUUGAAUGAUCAUUAAGUUGGGUCUCUGUCAUGUGAAGUUAAAGCACCGUAUAUGUCAAUGGAUACAGUGUCAAUAUGUAGAAAUCAACUUUAUUUCUAUAAGCUACCAAGAUGUAAUUGAAACAUAAAAUUUAAAAAAUUAUUUACAAUAGCACCAAGAAUAAAAUCUAAUGAAAAAUUUGUAGGCCCUUUACACAAAACUACAAGAUUAAGCCCAGAGAAAUUAAAGAUCUAAAUAAAUGGAGGAUGCUAUCAAGUUCAAAGAUUGGAAAAAUUCUUACUGUAAAGAUGCCUGUUUUUAAAAAAUUGAUCCAUAAAAUCAAUGCAGCCUCAAUCAAAAUUCCAAACUAUGUAUGUAUUUGUGUAUAAUAUAUAAAAUAUAUACAUGCAUAUUAUAUGCAUAUAUAUUUUUUAAUAUGUGUGAAACUGACUCUAAAAUUUAUAUAGAAUUAUUUUAAGGUCAAGCAUAGCCAGGACAAUGUUGAAGAAAAAGAAAAACCUUAUUGUGUAGCUACAGGAAUUAAGGCAGUGUGGUAUUGGCACAAGGAUAGACAUGUAGACCAAUGGAAAAACAUCUUUUUAGUGAGCAGAGGAGUGGAUGGGAGAUCAAGAAACAAAGGUGGUGAGGGUAGAUCUAUCUUAAAGAAAUUUGGUUCUAAAUGGAAGGAGAGAAAUAGGGAUGAAAUUAGAGGUAAAUGAGAUGUUGGGAGACAUAAUGUCCUAGAGAACCAGAAGUUCUUUCGAAGAACCACUAUUUAGAAGGGCAGGCCCCCUCCUUCCUUCUCUAACCCCCAUUCUUUGACUAAUGCCAAGUAACACAGAAUUGUCGGCAGUUGUAUACAACUUGCAAAUCACACAAGCUUGGAAGCUGCCAGGGUUAUUCAGUUUAGGUUUCAGAGAGAAUUCAGGAGAACAUCAAUAGAGAGCCCAAAGCAAGUGCACUCACUGAGAGCUCAACACCCCUCUCAGCUGCAUGCGGCACUCUCUCCCUGCCUCAGAAGGGCAAGGAUUUUGAGAGAAACCACAGGUCGGCUUACAAGAAAAAAGUCAGAACUUUGGGAUUCUUAACUAACCCCUUUAGGGCAGGAACCGUGUUUUUUUUGACUUUACAUACUCCCAGUUGCAGUGUCAGGACGUGGAAAGCUCUCUGUGUUUGUUGGGAUCAAUCAAUCAAU